rnacentral:lncRNA from 7 species
UCACUGGAGGGUGGGCCCGAGCGGCCAGUUGCUUCUUCCCGGAGAUCUCGCGCACGCACGAUCGCCAUGCUCGCUACUGACACACACCUCGGAAGGCCGUUGCAGCGACCCCACCACCUUGCCCAGGGUAUAAAUCCAUGCGGCCACACCCCAUCCUCGACCUGUAGGUCCCAACCUAGAUUCCCCAACCUCCCUGGAUCCGCUGCUCGCACGCGUGUUCGAACCCGCGACUGGCCGCCGCUGAUUCUCUGGAUUACACGGAUACAAUGCAGAAGAACAUGUGGCUGAGGAUCCUGGU